UGAUUGGCACCUCUUAGAGUGA
rnacentral:miRNA from 1 species